UACGGAGGGUGCGAGCGUUGUCCGGAAUCAUUGGGCGUAAAGGGCGCGUAGGCGGCGCGGGGAGUCAACGGUGAAAGCUCGGCGCUCAACGCCGAGUCGGCCGUCGAUACUCCCGUGCUCGAGCACUGUAGAGGCAGGUGGAAUUCCGGGUGUAGCGGUGGAAUGCGUAGAGAUCCGGAAGAACACCGGUGGCGAAGGCGGCCUG
rnacentral:rRNA from 1 species